GAUGAACGCUGGCGGCGUGCCUAAUACAUGCAAGUCGAGCGAACGGACCCGAAGCUUGCUUCUUUGAUGUUUGCGGCGGACGGGUGUGUAAAACGUGUAUAACCCACCUAUAAGACUGGGAUAACUUCGGGAAACCGGAGCUUAUACCGGAUGAUAUUUUGAACCGCAUUGGUCAAAAGUGAAAUACGGCCUUUGUGGCUAGUAUAGAUGGAUCCCCGCUGCAUUAGCUAGUUGUUAAGGUAACGGGUUUCCAAGGGAACGAUGCAUAACCGACCUGAGAGGGUGAUAGGCCACACUGGAACUGAGACACGGUCCAGACUCCUACGGGAGGCAGCAGUAGGGAAUCUUCCGCAAUGGGCGAAAGCCUGACGGAGCAACGCCGCGUGAGUGAUGACGGUCUUCGGAUCGUAAAACUCUGUUAUUAGGGAAGAACAUAUGUGUAAGUAACUGUGCACAUCUUGACGGUACCUAAUCAGAAAGCCACGGCUAACUACGUG
rnacentral:rRNA from 1 species